rnacentral:tRNA from 1 species
GCCGGAGUGGCGGAAUUGGUAGACGCAAGGGACUUAAAAUCCCUCGGGGUUUAUCUCUGUGCCGGUUCGAGUCCGGCCUCCGGCACCA